rnacentral:rRNA from 1 species
AUGAAUGAGGAUAUUGUACAAUGGUGUUUUACGGGGUUUUAUGGUCGUCCGAGCUGGAGUGAGCGUAGUUUGUCUUGGGAUGAUAUUCGAAAUUUACAUUGUAAGGGCAAACACCCCUGGGUAGUCUUGGGUGAUUUUAAUGAAAUUUUACUUUCUUCUGAAAAGGAGGGCGGUAACGCCAGACCUAAUGCUAUGAUGAGAGAUUUUCGUAAUUGUUUGCAAGAGUGCGGUGAUAUGGGAUGUAUUGACGAUCUCUUCACUUGGAGGAGAGGCGAAAUUAGGGAGAGACUUGACCGUGCAGUUUACAAUGUGGAUUGGGCGAAUAAAUUUGCUCGGGCUGCGAUCAUAAAUGAAGAACACGUACACUCUGAUCAUCGACCCCUCAUCCUGGAUACAGAUUAUUUUGAUGUGAAUAUGUUUAAUCGCCCAAGGGGUCGAGCAAAACAAUUUGAAGCUCGAUGGCUCAAAGAAGAGACAGUUGUAGAAAUCGUAUGUAUAGCAUGGGAUAAAGCAAAGAUGAUGGGUAUUGGGCCGUCUCUCGCUGAGCGUACAUGGGCGGUGCAGGCGGAUCUGCAUAUUUGGGAUCGCGAUAUUCUGAAGGGACCGAAAAAAAGAAUUAAUAAACUAAAAAAAGAACUAGAAAGGCUGCGGAGGGGACCUAUGUGUGCGGAGUCUCAAGCGCGACAAAAGGAGAUUCUUGUCCUCAUUGAAAAUCUGUUGGAACAAGAGGAGAUUUACUGGCUACAACGUGGUCGCGCAAACUGGCUAUUGCAUGGGGAUCGUAACACCUCCUUUUUUCAUAAUGCGGCAAUGGCCAGAAAGAAAAGAAAUCAGAUUAAAAAAUUACUUGAUGAUAAUGGGCUAUGGGUGCAAGGUACAGAAAUGAAGAAUCACAUUAUGGCAUAUUUCUCAAACCUCUUUACAUCAGAAGGUUCCCAUCCUAACUCGGAGGUUCUAUCUCUUGUCCACUGA